UUUUAUUAGGUAGUCGGAGUGGCUGUUCUCUUUGAAGUGCAAAGAAAUGCUAGAUCAGAAGCUAGAAAGGAAGAAAUGCGUAAACAAGAACUAGAGGCAUUGAAGCAACGAGAUGAAGAUUUGUCCAAAGAAGUUGAGAUUCUCAAGUACAAAGUCGUGGAACUGGAGCACCUUGUUAAAGGACGAAGGCAUAAUAUUUUCAGCUUGACGCAAGCUGAUAGCAUGAAUGACAAAGUUAAAACUUGAUUUAUUGUCGUGUCAUGGCAGUAAAAACUUGUACAAUGGGAGUCGAAAUACUCAGAAUGGAACUUUGACCAGAGAUGCAAAUUUUAGGCAUUUCUGAGAAUCUGUAGCUGCUCUUGCCAAACUAAUAUGACUCAAAAAUUCUUGACUCCUUGCGGGAGCAAAAUCAGAUAAUACAAGUUGUAGAAAGAUGUAUGUUCACCAUC